rnacentral:ncRNA from 1 species
AUGGACAACAUCAGCAAAAUCUAGUGAAAAUAUAUUCUUAUAAUCCAAAAUAUAAUGGUAUGGACAAAUCACCAACAAAUACAGAAUGCACUAAAAACUUCAUGGGAUUGUGCAGGCCCAGGAUAGGUGUUGAUACAUGUGAUUUCUACCUAGUGCUCUAAAAGUCAAAGUGAAGAAAUUCAAUGAAGCACAGAUAAAUGAUGGGAGUAACUAUAACUCUAUUAAGGUUGUCAAAUGCCUCAUCAUCUAAUUAGUGACACGCAUGAAUGGAUGAGCAAGAUUCCCACUGUCCCUACCUACUAUCCAGCAAAACCAAAGCCAAGAAAACAGGCUUGGCAGAAAUCAGCAAGGAAAAUGACUUUGCUGAGCUCAACUCUAUUCUGGAACAAUGAAAAGACUCAAGAAGUAUAUAACAAGUGGGAGGCUCCCAGCUCUGAGUGCACACACACCCUAAUUACCACAUCCCUGCCUUAAAAGGGUGGGAAUGGGGCAGCCCUAUGGGCCACCUGUGAAAUACCAAUGCUCUCACUAUUUUUUCCACAGGCCAAAGGGGCUCUUGCUUCUGGCUCUAAGCACCUAGUCACACUAGCCAGACACGACCCACUCCAGGGACAUUGAUCAUUAGGGAGCUGAACUGGUAUUGUACACCUGUGAAAUGGUAAUGCAGGUGUCCUAAGGAAAGCUCAGGGAGGGCAGAAACCACAGAUGGAGCAGAAGAGCAAAAGCUCACUUAAUCUUGAUUUUCAGUAUGAAUACAGACUACAAAAGUGGGGACACACACACACAUAAUAAAAAAUUCACGGGAGAAGAGGAGGAACAAUAAGGGGCACUGAGAGAUGGAGAACCAUUAUGAACUGAAAAAUUUUGCAGGGCCAUUCUCAGAACAGUACCAGAAACGGGAGAUGACACUGAUGGUUAUAAUUUGUGGAUACAAG